CCAGAUGACCAGCUACUAGCGAGAGAGAGAGAGAGCUAGCGAGCUAGCUAGUCUAGUCACGAAAGCAGUCAACUACGUCAAUCAAGCCAGCAGGACUACAAUGGUCUCGUUGGCACAGUAAGUUGGCUACCUAGCUGCUGAUCUAUACGUAGGCUAGCAUACCUGCUAUGUUGGCCACUAGCAGCAAGAUCGCGAUUUAGCAACAACAGGUUGACCACUGUUGAUUGUCCAUCCGUUUGCUGCUGUAAACCAUCUCGAUCUAAGUUGCAAUCGAAUACAAGGCUUGACCUGCUCCUUCCUAGCUCUUGUUUGAUAUGACAUCACUGCAUGGUUACCACAGAAACCAGGGCUCCACUGCAGACGGCUGACAGCCUGUUAGGUGCAAUCGAAGAGAAUGGCUGCCCAGGUGGAGGUUCAGACCGGGGAGGUGGGGAGGACAGGUGUGGGGGGAAGGCUGCAUCUCAGCCCCUUGGUCGACUCCAGCAACAAGAGCCUUGUGGAAGGCUCAUCCGGCCCCCAGGGUUCCCUCAUUAUCCCCCCAGAGCCGGGCAAGCCUGUCCCUGCACCCAAACCCCGGCUCACUCCCAAGCCUUUCUCCGUGGAGAGAAACCCAACUGUCCGGCCCAUUCUUGCUCCCAAGCCUCACACGAAGCCACGGCCGGAGCCCACCCGACCGACUUCCUACAAGCCUGACCCCCCUGUCGUUCCCAAGCCGGAGCAGCCCGGUGUGACCGGCAAACACAGGCCGGUGUCGACCAACCCCGGGCGUCCGGCGCCGAGCACCUUCAAGCCCUCCCCGAAGCUGAGCACUGGACAAACCAGCAAGCCUGUGGCCCAGCCCUUUAAACCCGCCCCUCCUCUGACGCUCGGAGACCCCAGCAAACCUGUUCCCCCCCCACCAGCGGGACGUCACACAGCCAAUACCGCAGGGACGUCCCCCUCCAGGGGCAACAAGAAACCCCAAUCUGCGGAAUGGUCUGGAAGUACCAAGCAGGACAUGGAGUGGGGCAAAACAUCCUCCACCGCAAGGCCCAGCGGAACCUCCAUGACGAGAGCCAAAUCCAUGGGCUUCCUGAAUCAGAUGGAACAAGAAGAAGAGGAGAGGGAGUUGGAAGUAGCAACUGAGGUCGGUGUCGCUCUCAGACCCCACCCCCGCAGCUCCAGGCCCAGACCCGUGUCGGCAAUAUUCCUGCCCUCCCCAACUGAGACUGAGGCGCCCAGCCCUGCCUCCCAGUGGUCUGUCAGACGACCCCUCUCAGCGGACCUCACCUCCAGGUUUGAGUCCAUUGGCUUGUCUCUGCACCGCCGACCCACCGACACCGACAGCAAGGAGAACACUCCAGAAGAGGGCGUUCCGCCGCGGAGGAGAGAGAGGGAGAAGGGCCCAGAGGGGGCGGGGGGGGCAGCGCAGGGGCCGGAGGGCAAGCCGAAGCCCACCGUCUCCAGACGAGGGAGCGAUAAGACCAAGGAGGAGGGCGACGACGAGAAGGAGGAAGUGAAGAGCGGUGGGGGGAGUAUCAAGCGACGGAUCAGCCUCCUCCUGGACUCCUCUUCUUCUCCGGGGGGACGCGCCAUUGGCCAAGUGCCGGAACCUCGCUCCCCAGUGCAGCCAAUCCCGGAGGCGGAAGCGCCGCUCGGUAUCAAGCAGCGAAUCAAGCAGCUCACUGAAGACACGCCCCCGGCUCAGACCCCAUCUCCUAAACUGUCGCUUAGGCCACGACCUUUGCCCCUCGACCUGACUAAAAGGUUUACCUCUGACAGGUCCCCAGACCUCGGCAGUCCCUCCCUCAGUGAGGCGACAGACCGCCUUGACAGUGACAUUGAUCCUCAGAGGAGGGGUGAGGACUCUCCCAACUUCAGGGACCAAGCGAAGGUGGAGGAGGACAGCCGAGGCCCCCCGGAGCGUCCCCCGGAGCCCGCCUCUGAUCCAGCAGCAGGGCGGGCGCUGGGGAGCGGUGCCCAGGAGAGGAGCCUCGGCGGUGGGGUGCAGACCGUGAGGGCGGCCCUAUUCGAGAACGUGGUGGAGAGGCACAGCGUGCUGGUGUUGGACGAGGACCAGGGCCAGGCCGGGCGGAGCCUUUCCCUGAGGCGACGGGAGGAGGAGAACGAGGGGAACCUGGUCACGGCCACCUACCGCGAGCCCGUGUCUCCCUCCAGCCCGCUGCGGGCGGAGCACUCGUACGACACAGUGCCGGCCGUAGGGGAGAGCAGGGCGGUGAGCGAGAGCGUGGCCUCGGCCCAGCUGGAGGACAAAGCCAUGACCCUGAGAAGACGCUCCGACAGAGCGGCCAGGGCUGAACCUGCCGAAGACCAGCUUCCUCAGGGCCAGGGGGUCUUCUUUCCAGCCGGAGAAGGAGGAGAAGGAGGUGGAGGAGGAGGAGCGGAGCAGCAACCACGCUACCUGAGGGUCGGGGCCCUGCAGAAGUGGAACCCUGCAGACCUGGAGAGGGAGGCGGAGGAGGAGAGGAGGCGAAGAGCCAAACUGGAGAGACAGAUGGAAAGGGGAGGAAAAGCUGCGGCGGAGGAGCAGCGGGAGACGCAGAGAGAGGCGGAAAGGCAGAUGCAAAUGGAUGUCGACAGGGAGAUAAGGAGGGACAAGGAGAGGGAAGAGGUCGCAGCGCCGAAACGGUUGAAAAUGCUGGAGGCAAAUGAGCUGCCGGCCAAGCCCAGGGCCACGUACUUUGCUCUGACCGGUCAGGCCCAAGAGGUUGUUUCCCCGGGAGAAGAAAGAGCGGAGAGAGGGGACUUGGAGGUGCCCUUUGAUGACUACUCUGUGAAGUCUGGACAGUGGGGCUCGCAAGGCAAGGUCCUGCCCCUACGUAGGACUAUUCCACUGGACGACGCUUUGGGGAAAAGCCUGCAAAGUAGAGUACAGGAUGAGGAACGUUCGGAGAGGAGCCCAACACAGGACAGACAGAGGGGAAUGCCGUGGGUGAGACCGGGAGGAAUGGAAGAUAUGGAAAUUGAGAAGCAGAAACAAAUGGAUUCGGAAAAACAAAGGGCAUUAGACAGGGAGGCCCAGAGGCAGUUGGAAAUGGAGAGGCAGGUGGAAUUUGCCCAGAAGAUGGACAGGGAGAAUCGGAAAGAACUGGAAAGAGAAAGACAGAAGGAGUUGGAGAGGCAAAGACAGAGAGAGAUGGAAAGAGACAGACAACGUGCUCUCGAGAGACAACAAGAGCUACACAGGCAGCAGGAAGUGGAGAGAGAGAGGCAGAGAGAGGUGGAAAGAGAGAGGCAGCGAGAGGUGGAGAGAGAGAGGCAGAGAGAGGUGGAACGAGAGAGGCAGCGAGAGCUAGAGAGGCAGAAGGAGGUGGAGAAGGAGAGGCAGUUGGAGAUGGAUAGACAGAAGUUGGCGAUGCAGAGAGAGUUGGAGAGGGCGAAGGAACAGGAGAGAAGACAACUUCAGGAGUAUGAAAAACAGAAACAAGUGGAGCGGGAAAGACAGCAACUUGUAGAGCUAGAGAAGCAGAGACUGAGAGAAAAGGCAGAGAGAGAAGAGGCUGAAAAAUUAAGAAAGAUGGCUAUACAACAGGAAGUGGACCGACAGAGAGAACUGGAGCGGGAAAGAGAGAGGGAGAAGGAGAGACUGAGACAGCUGGAGGUCGAGGUGGAGGAGGAGAGACUGAGGCAGCUGGAGGUAGAGAGGCAGAAGGAGGUGGAGAAGGAGAGACUGAGGCAGCUGGAGGUAGAGAGGCAGAAGGAGGUGGAGAAGGAGAGACAGAAGUUGGCGAUGCAGAGAGAGCAACAGAGAUUGGAAGAGUUGGAGAGAGUAAAGGAACAAGAGAGAAGACAAUUUCAGGAGUACGAAAAACAGAAAAAAGUGGAGCGGGAAAGAGAACGACAACAAGAGAGGGAGAAGGAGAGACUGAGGCAGCUGGAGGUUGAGAGGCUGAAGGAGAGGGAGAAGGAGAGACUGAGGCAGCUGGAGGCCGAGAGGCAGAAGGAGGCGGAGAGGCAACUCCAGCGAGAUCUGGAGAGGCAGAGGCAGUUGGAUUCGGAACGGCAGGAGCUGGACAGGCAGCGGGCGAGACAAAGGGAGAGCGAGAAAGAGAGACAGAGGGCAGAGGAACUGGAGAGGAGGAAGGAGAUGGAACAGCGGCAGCUGCUGGAGUUUGAGAAACAGAAGCAAGCGUCGGCCCAGAGACAGCAGGUGGUCGACCUGGAGAUGCAGAGGCUGCGGGAGAGGAUGGAGAGAGACGACGCAGAGAAGAUGAGACGGGUCGCCACGCAACAGGAAGUGGAACGCCAGAGGCUGAGGGAUAAGCAGAAGAGGGAGGACCAAGAGAGGGCCGACUCCUCCCCCCUCCGACCCAAAGUUCUGGAUCUCGACUUGGUGACCUGGGACGACCCGUUCUCCCCAAACGCCCCCUACUCCAGUGACCCAUCAUCCAGGUGGAGGAAGCCCUCUCCCAGGUCAGAGGAGGAGUACCGGCCUGCCAUAUUGGACAUUGACUCAUUCAGGUCUCAGGCUCAGUUGUCACCCACGAAAGAGGCGUACCCUGUUGCCGGUAACCAAGGAACAGAACCAGGGAGUGGGCCCAGAACCAACCUCAACACCCCAGACAGGGAAGGAUGCGUCAGGAUGGUGCCCGAGGGGGUCGUGGGGCGGCCCAGUCCAGUGUGGGCCUCCUCCCAGCAGGAUCCCUGGGAACGUAGACCAGGGGAGGUAGUGGGAAGUCCCCCGGCUGGACCAGAGGCCCCCAGGAAGCCGGCCAACAAGCCCAGCCUGGAGCAGCUCCUCCUCAGGCAGGAGGAGAGGGCCGCGGCGUCCUGCUUGGUCCCAGAGAGACGCUGGGCUGCCAUGCCCGGCGAACCACCGCCCUCAGCCCCCCAACCCGCGAGAGACACCAGCCUGUCUGCAUCUCCAGCCGUGAGCCUGGAUCCCUGGUCCUCCUUAGAGGCUGGGCCUCCCGGACUCGGAGGGAUGGAGACCAGAAGCCAGAGGAGGUCCCAGGGUUCCCAGGAGCUGAACCGGAUGAGGUCACGCAGCGUGUCGAGGCGCUCCACCCCGGCCGCGAGCACGCUGGAGGGCUCUCUCCUCAGGAUGAGGAGCCGGAGUGCACACAGAGAGAGGGGCGGACAAGACUGGGAGGCGCAGAAGCAAGGUGUCGGUGGUGACGAAGAGGGGAGGGACACCGACACACUGGUCCAUGAGACAGACAGUCAGUACGGCACCUGGGAGACAGGCCUGCGCACUGACGACAGCCUGACUCCAGCCACGCCCACCUCGGAAGGCAACCUGAGCCCGUCGCCUGGGAAAGCAACCCCGCCCCACACGCCGGGCGAACAGGCGCCACCCAGCGACCUCGACACCCCAGACGGCCUGUCUCCACUCCAGCUUGAGAUCCAGCAGCUCCCCUUCCCUGAGGCCUCCACCAGCCUGCUGGACUCCAGCGCCCUGCGCUCCAGGGCCCAGCUGAGUAAGAAGCGGGGUCCUCGCUCCAGGCCGACCAGGCCGGCCAGGCAGAGUGCCGCUCUGGCUGGGCUCCCCGAGGGCCAGGCUGACUCUGGAGAGGACUGGCGCUACCCGCGACUCCACAGAGGAGAAGGUGCAGGCUAAGCAGGAGGACUCGGACUCAGAAGAGCAGGCCAGGGCAGUAGACCCCAGGCCGGCUGCCUCCCAGCCCCAGAGAGUCCCCCUCUUCCCUGGGAUGGAUCCCUCCGCUCUCAAGGCCCAGCUGAAGAAGAGAGGCGACUCGGACAAUCAGAAUGUCACAAUCAGCAAUCAGCUGUCUCGCUCUCCUAAAUCUCCCUUCCUCCCCCAGGCCUCUCGCGUGCUGCCCCCUGCUGGGGGGAAAGAGAACGGAGAGGAGGCUUCACCCCAGUGGCUGAGGGAGCUGAAAUCGAAGAAGCGCUUGAGUCAGUAUGACAACGACAGUUAGGUGUGAAGGAACAGAGGAUGCCUUAAAACAGAAGAGUCUGUUGGAGAAUUUGAAAACAGAAGCCUUAACCUUCGACCUUUUGAGCCGAUGGGAAUUCUGCUGCUGCUGUUGUUUGUUUUUACGUCAUCUGUUUGCCUAUUUUCUCCAUCCUCUUCCUGCCCUGGUUAUAUACAUGUGCAUGGUGCCUUUUCCCCCCUGAAUAUCUUGGCCUUUUGGAUGACAGAAGUGAGGGAAGACGUGGCUGCUCAGCUUCUCCCGUACCCUGCUAGCUCCUGGGGCCCUGCAUGCCAGGGCGACCUCCGCAUAGACACUUUACCCUCUCACCUCACUGGGGCGCAACGGAAGAGGAGGAACAUUUGUUUUCCUUUUUGGGUUGCAUUUCAGGAAUGGUUAUGUUGUGGGACCACUUGCCUCUUAACCCGGAAGUGUUUCGGUAUAAGCCAGAGGGCAGUCUAGAACUUGGGAUCAUUUUAUCUAGUUUACUAUUUUAAAUUGUAUUUUUUCAGUUCGGUGUCUGUGGUAAAUGUAUCAAUCUAUCUGUCAGUCCAGGGUUGUUGGUUAUAGGCACGCAAGCAUUGCCAUAAGACAACAUUUCUCAAUUAUUUUCUUUCCCGAUCAUAGAGAACAAAAAUACUGCUGAAUUGAUUAUCAGCCAGACUGUAUAUUAUAUGUUAGUACGUGUAAUCAUGAAAUGUUAUAUUUGUAUCUUUUGGUGAUUUGAAAAAGUACAUGGUAACAGGACAACAAAGCUAGUUUUGUACUGAGAGAGUUUAAGAUUCACUACAGUAGGGCUCUGGUCCACUCAGUGACUAACGUCACAACAUGUAGACACUUUAUGUAGACACUUUUAUCUGAGGGGGAAAGAUGUAUGUUUUGGGUUCAGUGUCAUUUCCAUAACUACCUUUCUAAUUGUGGGGGUGAUGGGGAAAGGAGAGGAAUUGUCGGUGGAUGCACACACUAAUGCACACACACAUACACACUAAUGCACUCACACAUA